GACACUUUAAAAUUCUUCUGUUCUUAUAAAAAUGUAAUUUUUCAUUAAAAAAAGUUAUUGAUAUCCUACGUUUGAAAAAAAAUAAAUAAAUAACAAUUAAUGGAGUUGCAUUUUUCUUUCUCGCCGGAAGGCCACAAACAGAGUUCGAUCAGGGCUUGAAAAAUAGCCGUUGCAGUAGAUUUUCAAAAUCCCAGAAGCCCACAAGCCAAGAUAAUCACCCCCAGUUUUGAAUUGAAACCAGUCAUUGCUGCUGGUAGAGAAUUUCAAAUUUCAAAAUCCAGACACUCGUAUGCCAAAACCAUUAAAUGAUACACAAUUUCCCGAAUGUUUUUUAAUUCUUCGUCCAAUCGUUUCAAUCUCAAAAUUCCAGACGCUCCCAACCCAAAAUAAUCUUCCAAUUUCUAGCCGUUACUGCUGAUGGAAUUUCAAAUUUCAAAAUUCAAGCGCUCCUAUUGCACCCCCCCUUCCCCCAAAAAAUAAAUAAAUAAAUAAAUAAAAUAAAAUAAAAUCCAGACCCUAGUAGGACCAAAGCCAAAAACCGAUAACGGUAGUAUAAAAUUUCCUAAAUUAAUCAUACUCUGCCCAAUUGCUCAGCUUCAUCUCCCAUUCUCUCUCGCUUUUUUCUUUUUCUCCGUUUGCUGUGGUUUUUUGGACUUCAAUGCGGAGGUUCAUUUGGGCCCUUCAGCAUCCUGCAAGCGGAUAUUACAGGGAAUAAAUGAUCUUUUUACACCCUCAGGUAAUGUUGACUUCUUUCUCGAUUUGUUCAGGGAACGAAUGAUUUUUUUUUUAAUACCCUUUUUAGUUGUUUUCUUAUCAAAGUACUUGGAAGGGAGUGCGUAGAAUUGGUCUAUUUCUGAUCUAGCUCCAGAAAGAAAAAAAAAAAAGAAAAAAAGAAAAAAAAAUCUAAUAUAGAGACUGAUGAGCUUUCAGCAUAUUUCUUCAGUUUUCAUUAUUUAUGUUGAUUCUCCAAGAACAAUGCCAGAUGUUCAAAAAAUCCUUCGGGCACAUGCUUUAUACAUGGUGCCAGAUGUUCCAAAAAUCCUUCGGGCACGUGCUUUUUACAUGGUUAGUUAUUGUCAAUGUUUUUCUUCUUCCUUUCAAAAUUUCUCUUAAUUGAUCUAGGUCCUCUAUAACUCUUCCAUAGAUUUUCAGAUAUGGUCUGAGUUUGACAAUCCGACUUACUUUUUCACUUUUCUUUCGUCCCCUCUCCUAUUUUGUUUCAUGUAGUGACAAAUUUCUUUAUGUAUAAAAUACAUAAUCCCACAUGGACAAUGGUGCCAGUUUUUCUGACCUUUGCAUUUUUGGUCAGUUUUUCAUUCCUUCGGCAUAAAAUGUUAUUAAGAGGUUCAUGGUCAUGUUAGUUGGUUUGCCAGAGGUGUUUAUGUAUAUUUGGAUUGAGGGUGGGUGGAUAGUGGUGAGGGUGUUCAUGGAAGUAUCCUAAGACAUAAAUAUAUACUAUAUGUAUUACAUGCCGUAUUAUUUUAAUUAUGAAUUUUGGUUACUCCUCUUAACUGGCUACUCUUGUUGCUGAAUAAGUCUCUGAUUUGACCAUAGAAAAUUGAAUGAAGUGUGGUGUGAUAGCUGUGCAACGUCUCUUAUUAACUAGGGUAUUUCUGUUUUCUUAAAAUGCUUUUUAGUGAUUUUUUCCAUGCUACUUUCCUAUUUUCUUUAAGAUUUGGAAUCCUGCAAGCGGAAAUGCUCAGCGAAUAAAUGAAUCUUCUUACUGGUGCUCACGAUGAGCUUUCAACAGAUUUCUUCAGGUAAUGAUUUCUAGAUAUGUUCAUGGAAUCAUGAUCUUGUUACACCAUUUUUAGUAGUUUUUAUGUCAGAGUAUGAGGAUGGGUAUGUGCAAAAUUGGUGUAUUUCUGUUCUAACUCUUGAAAAAAUGUCUAGGCUGAAUGGCUGAUGAGCUUUUAACAGAUUUAUUCAGGUAAUGGUGGCUUCUUACCUGAUAUGUUCAUGCAAUAAUGAUCUUGUUACCUUGUUUGUAAUUGUUUUUCCGUCAAAUGAUGACUUCUUUCUCUUUAAAUUGCAAUUCUUGAUUAAGAAAACGAUGAAAAAAAAUUAUUUUUCUCCUUGGGUUAGAGCUGAAUUGUAAAUCCUCUUUUUCUAUUUCUUUUGAUUCUUCAAGAACUGUACCAGAUGUCUUAUUCUUUCAAGAAGCUUUUAGAUUAUUUGGGUGGGGCAUCUGGUACAUUUGGUUUUAUUACAACUUCUUCUUGCUGCUUUCUUUAUGUAGUUUUUGUGUUUGUCAUUGCUUGUGGAUGCCUUGAUAUGUUGUAUUUUGUUUAUGGUUUCUGCGUGUACCUAUGCUUUGUUCAAUUGUUAUUGCCCUUUACAUAUUUUCAGUUUUCUGUUUUGUGCAUUUUUUGUUUUUAUUAUUGCUUCCUGGAAACUCUUGCUUUCUUGUGUUAUUUGUAUUCAUUGUUUUUAGGGACCUUUUUGUUGUCAAAUUUGGUAUUCAUUACCACUUUCUGUGUGUAGUUUGUGUUUGUUAUUCCUUGUGGAUGCCUUGAUUCUUUAUAUGCUUUGUCUAAAGUUCUGUCUAUACCUUUGCUUUACUUGAUUGUCGUAGCCCUUGCUUUACUUAUUUGUUUUCUGCUUUGUGUUCACUUUUUGUAUUUAUUAGUGCUUCCUCGAAAUUCUUGCUUUCUUCUAUGGUUUGCAUUCAUUGCUUUACUAUAAGUUUUCUUUUCUUUUCUUUUCUUUUUCUUUUAUUCAUUUAUUAUUAUUAUUAUUAUUAUUAUUAUUUUUAUUCUUUGUUGAUUUCCUUGUAAUCAUUACCACUUCUUGUGGCACACGUCGUUUUUUUUUUUAAAAAAAAAAAAAAUUAUUGUAUCUAUGGCCAUUGUUUUAUGGAUUCUUUGAGCUAUCUUUGUACCUUUUUUCUAUUUAUAAGGCUGAGUGUAUAUUGCUCAUGUCUUAUACUUUUAGCUCUCUGUCGUUCAUCAUUCUUUUUGAGCAUUUUUGAAUAUGUCUUGUUCUUUUGGUAGAGAAAAGAACAAAGGCUUUAGGUGUUUUUUUUGAGUUUAAUCCUUCUAUUUACAAUAUGGGUUGGCAGUAUAUAGAAAAGACCAUUGGUUUUUCUCAUUGCAUCUUUUUGUAGAUCAGUUAUUUGUUCUUGCUCCUGAGAGGGUAGUAUAAUAGUGUAGUCUUGAUUACGCAGUAUCUUAAUUUGGUUAUCAUGCUGUAGAUAGUUUAACCCUAUUCCGUUGAACAUAUUUCUCUAGUUAUGGUGAUUUGUCUCAUUACAUUGUACAUUACUCAGCUUUUCUACAUGCAGAAAGUGUUUGACUAUUUUCUUUGUUCAUUUUUUGAAAAUUGUGGUGGUGUUUUUAAGAUGCAACAAGUGCAAAUUUUAUUUAUUUAUUUAUUUAUUUUUUACUAUGCACAUUUAUAUUUUUCAUUAUUUCUGUUGAUUAUCCAUGAACAGUACCAAAUGUCUCCUUCUUUCAGCCAGUCUUGUGUUCAGAAAUCCUCUAAUCUGGUGCUUUAUUCAUGAUUAGUUACUGUAAGAAUUUUUUCCCCUUUCAAAUUUUCCAAUUUGAUUUUAAGGCCUCUUGUAUUUUAAUUAUACCUAUUUUGGUUACUCCUCUUAACGAGCUACUUCUUGUUGGUAAAUAAGUCUUUGAUUUGAUGUUUUGAGCUCCAAAGAAAAUUGAAUGAACUUUGGUGUGUAGUUAUGAAAAUUCCCUCAAUCGGGUAUUUAUGCUUUUUUAAAAUGCUUUUUAGUGAGCUUUAAACAGAUUUCUUCAAGUAAUGGUGACUUCUUUCUGGAUAUGUUGACGGAAUAAUGAACUUUUUACCCCAUUUUUAGUUGUUUUUCUGUCAGAGUACUUAGAAGGUAAUGUGCAGAAUUGGUCUACUUCUGAUCUAACUCUAAAAAAUAUCUAAUAUAGGGGCUGAUGAUGAGCUUUCAUCAGAUUUGUUCAGGUAAAUGAUGACUUCUUUCUCCUUGGAUUGUGAUUCUUGAUUGGAAAAGGCAAAGAAAAGUUUAUUUUGGUUCAAUUAACUAAAGGUAAAAUUGGUAGUUAUUGGCUUUUCAUUUUUCUCUAUAGAUAUUUUGCUCUAGUAUUCUUCAAGAACUGUAGCAGAUAAUGAUAUCUCCUUCUUUCGGCUAGUACAAGUCUAGAAAUUCUUGGAGCAUGUGCAAAUCUUUACGAGAUAAUGAUACAUGGUUUGUUAUUGAGGAACAGACAAAUAGUUGUAAGAAUUAAAAGUAAAGAUUUCCAAGGGUUCAAUUUUAUUUAUCUUUCUUUUAAACUUUCUCUCAAUUAAUAUUAGGUCCCCUAUUACUCUUCCAUAGAUUUCCAGAUGUGAUCUGAAUUUCUUCAGGAAAUAGAUGAUCUGAUGUCCAAAUCGAUGUUAGACGCUAGAGCAACCAGAACUGCAUCAACUUUGCAAAUUUCUGAUAAUGGUAAUUAAUGUUUUUUUUUUGGAAAUUUUUUUAUUUUCUUUUAUAUAUAUAUUUUUAAUUAUUAUGAUGUGCUUACACUUCUUGGGCAGUUUUGUUUGGUUGUUGUUCGAAUAAAACUGCUAUUAUAAGGAUCUGCUCCGGAAAUUCUCCCAGGUGGUCCCAUUUAGUGAUGUUCCACGAGGCAAUCACUAGAGAAUUACCUAAUGGAACCCUACUUAAAACGUCAACAAGCGAAUGCCUCAAUAUAAUGAUAAAACCACGAUAUUAUACAGAUCCACAACUAGUCCAUAACUAUAGCCCGUCAUACAGGCCAUAUAGUGUUCAAUAUCUAGAUCAGAGCAUUCUUUUUGUAUUUGUAAAAUUUAGAAGAAUAACUAAUACAAAGAAAUGUGGAAAGAUGACGGUAAAUAGACAAGUAGGUAUUAUUGCUGCAGUAGGAAGCAUGAACAA